rnacentral:rRNA from 1 species
UGGGGAAUAUUGGACAAUGGGCGCAAGCCUGAUCCAGCCAUGCCGCGUGAGUGAUGAAGGCCCUAGGGUUGUAAAGCUCUUUCAUCGGUGAAGAUAAUGACGGUAACCGGAGAAGAAGCCCCGGCUAACUUCGUGCCAGCAGCCGCGGUAAUACGAAGGGGGCUAGCGUUGUUCGGAUUUACUGGGCGUAAAGCGCACGUAGGCGGACUAUUAAGUCAGGGGUGAAAUCCCGGGGCUCAACCCCGGAACUGCCUUUGAUACUGGUAGUCUUGAGUUCGAGAGAGGUGAGUGGAAUUCCGAGUGUAGAGGUGAAAUUCGUAGAUAUUCGGAGGAACACCAGUGGCGAAGGCGGCUCACUGGCUCGAUACUGACGCUGAGGUGCGAAAGCGUGGGGAGCAAACAGG